rnacentral:rRNA from 1 species
UACGUAGGGGGCUAGCGUUGUUCGGAAUUAUUGGGCGUAAAGAGCUCGUAGGCGGCUGUGUCAGUCAGGUGUGAAAUCCCGGAGCUCAACUUCGGAACUGCCUUUGAUACAGCACGUCUUGAGUCCGAUAGAGGUGGGUGGAAUUCCUAGUGUAGAGGUGAAAUUCGUAGAUAUUAGGAAGAACACCGGUGGCGAAGGCGGCCCACUGGAUCGGUACUGACGCUGAGGUGCGAAAGCGUGGGGAGCAAACAGG